rnacentral:rRNA from 1 species
AGCGUACACGGUGGAUGCCCUGGCAGUCAGAGGCGAUGAAGGGCGUGCUAAUCUGCGAUAAGCGCCGGUAAGGUGAUAUGAACCGUUAUAACCGGCGAUACCCGAAUGGGGAAACCCAGUGUGAUUCGUCACACUAUCAUUAACUGAAUCCAUAGGUUAAUGAGGCGAACCGGGGGAACUGAAACAUCUAAGUACCCCGAGGAAAAGAAAUCAACCGAGAUUCCCCCAGUAGCGGCGAGCGAACGGGGAGGAGCCCAGAGCCUGAAUCAGCAUGUGUGUUAGUGGAAGCGUCUGGAAAGGCGCGCGAUACAGGGUGACAGCCCCGUACACAAAAGCGCAUGUGCUGUGAGCUCGAUGAGUAGGGCGGGACACGUGGUAUCCUGUCUGAAUAUGGGGGGACCAUCCUCCAAGGCUAAAUACUCCUGACUGACCGAUAGUGAACCAGUACCGUGAGGGAAAGGCGAAAAGAACCCCGGCGAGGGGAGUGAAAAAGAACCUGAAACCGUGUACGUACAAGCAGUGGGAGCCCCACCACUAAGCCAGUGGUGAACUCCACAUACGCAUCCUUUGCUGAGGAUACGGUUAACGGAGCGAAAGCGACGUUCAACCGCAAAAGAAGCAGAGGGGGCUUAGUGGUGGGGUGACUGCGUACCUUUUGUAUAAUGGGUCAGCGACUUAUAUUCUGUAGCAAGGUUAACCGAAUAGGGGAGCCGGAGGGAAACCGAGUCUUAAUUGGGCGUUAAGUUGCAGGGUAUAGACCCGAAACCCGGUGAUCUAGCCAUGGGCAGGUUGAAGGUUGGGUAACACUAACUGGAGGACCGAACCGACUAAUGUUGAAAAAUUAGCGGAUGACCUGUGGCUGGGGGUGAAAGGCCAAUCAAACCGGGAGAUAGCUGGUUCUCCCCGAAAGCUAUUUAGGUAGCGCCUCGUGAAUUCAUCUCCGGGGGUAGAGCACUGUUUCGGCUAGGGGGCCAUCCCGGCUUACCAACCCGAUGCAAACUGCGAAUACCGGAGAAUGUUAUCACGGGAGACACACGGCGGGUGCUAACGUCCGUCGUGAAGAGGGAAACAACCCAGACCGCCAGCUAAGGUCCCAAAGUCAUGGUUAAGUGGGAAACGAUGUGGGAAGGCCCAGACAGCCAGGAUGUUGGCUUAGAAGCAGCCAUCAUUUAAAGAAAGCGUAAUAGCUCACUGGUCGAGUCGGCCUGCGCGGAAGAUGUAACGGGGCUAAACCAUGCACCGAAGCUGCGGCAGCGAACGUAUCACUUAAAGCGAUUCAGCGGGUUACGAUUGACGGAGCGAAGCGACGUCAAAGCGUAUACAAAGUCGAGUCGGUUUAAGGAUACGUUCGUUGGGUAGGGGAGCGUUCUGUAAGCCUGCGAAGGUGGCCUGUGAGGGUUGCUGGAGGUAUCAGAAGUGCGAAUGCUGACAUAAGUAACGAUAAAGCGGGUGAAAAGCCCGCUCGCCGGAAGACCAAGGGUUCCUGUCCAACGUUAAUCGGGGCAGGGUGAGUCGACCCCUAAGGCGAGGCCGAAAGGCGUAGUCGAUGGGAAACGGGUUAAUAUUCCCGUACUUGGUGUUACUGCGAAGGGGGGACGGAGAAGGCUAUGUUGGCCGGGCGACGGUUGUCCCGGUUUAAGCGUGUAGGUGUGUGUUCCAGGUAAAUCCGGUUCACUUUAACACUGAGGCGUGAUGACGAGGCACUACGGUGCUGAAGCAACAAAUGCCCUGCUUCCAGGAAAAGCCUCUAAGCAUCAGGUAACAUCAAAUCGUACCCCAAACCGACACAGGUGGUCAGGUAGAGAAUACCAAGGCGCUUGAGAGAACUCGGGUGAAGGAACUAGGCAAAAUGGUGCCGUAACUUCGGGAGAAGGCACGCUGACACGUAGGUGAAGUGAUUUACUCAUGGAGCUGAAGUCAGUCGAAGAUACCAGCUGGCUGCAACUGUUUAUUAAAAACACAGCACUGUGCAAACACGAAAGUGGACGUAUACGGUGUGACGCCUGCCCGGUGCCGGAAGGUUAAUUGAUGGGGUCAGCGCAAGCGAAGCUCCUGAUCGAAGCCCCGGUAAACGGCGGCCGUAACUAUAACGGUCCUAAGGUAGCGAAAUUCCUUGUCGGGUAAGUUCCGACCUGCACGAAUGGCGUAAUGAUGGCCAGGCUGUCUCCACCCGAGACUCAGUGAAAUUGAACUCGCUGUGAAGAUGCAGUGUACCCGCGGCAAGACGGAAAGACCCCGUGAACCUUUACUAUAGCUUGACACUGAACAUUGAGCCUUGAUGUGUAGGAUAGGUGGGAGGCUUUGAAGUGUGGACGCCAGUCUGCAUGGAGCCGACCUUGAAAUACCACCCUUUAAUGUUUGAUGUUCUAACGUGGACCCGUGAUCCGGGUUGCGGACAGUGUCUGGUGGGUAGUUUGACUGGGGCGGUCUCCUCCUAAAGAGUAACGGAGGAGCACGAAGGUUGGCUAAUCCUGGUCGGACAUCAGGAGGUUAGUGCAAUGGCAUAAGCCAGCUUGACUGCGAGCGUGACGGCGCGAGCAGGUGCGAAAGCAGGUCAUAGUGAUCCGGUGGUUCUGAAUGGAAGGGCCAUCGCUCAACGGAUAAAAGGUACUCCGGGGAUAACAGGCUGAUACCGCCCAAGAGUUCAUAUCGACGGCGGUGUUUGGCACCUCGAUGUCGGCUCAUCACAUCCUGGGGCUGAAGUAGGUCCCAAGGGUAUGGCUGUUCGCCAUUUAAAGUGGUACGCGAGCUGGGUUUAGAACGUCGUGAGACAGUUCGGUCCCUAUCUGCCGUGGGCGCUGGAGAACUGAGGGGGGCUGCUCCUAGUACGAGAGGACCGGAGUGGACGCAUCACUGGUGUUCGGGUUGUCAUGCCAAUGGCACUGCCCGGUAGCUAAAUGCGGAAGAGAUAAGUGCUGAAAGCAUCUAAGCACGAAACUUGCCCCGAGAUGAGUUCU